AUCACUAACAAAUCAAAUUAGAUAUAAUCUAAGCAGGUGUAUUUGAGCAGGAAAAAAAACACAUUAGAGCCACCUGAAUCUAGAUAUGAUCUAUGAUUUUGAGAGCAUUCAGUUUUGCUCUCAAGAUCAGUGACAUAAUCUUUACUAUAUAUUGUUAUUUUUAAGGCAUGUGCAGUUUUGUAACAGCAAUACAAUGCAGAGUCUACAAAGAGCUAUAGAUAAAAAGUACAGCAAAAUGAUUUCACGAAAUCAAUAUUUUAUUCAGUGUCAAAGCAUCUUAACUGAAUUGUAAAUCCUAUGAUUACCUGGUCAAUGUCUCUCAUUUUGCCCAUGAAGAAUCUGAAAGCUGGAUAGAUGCUUAUGCUGUCAAGUUACCAGAAAGAAAAUGAGAAGUUACAUUGCUUGUCAUGAGUUGGAUGGUGAUAGUCACAACUGUAAAAACAGUGCAGAUAAUGAUGGUUGCAGGGCCCCUCUUCAAUGGAGGCAUUGCCAGCCUUCUGGCCAUGAAGGAGAAAGUGA
rnacentral:sRNA from 1 species